CUUGAGCUUGCAUCUAUGUACUCAGUCGGGUUCGAUCCAGAAGAACAAUAUCAUUUGGAUGGUCAGCUCAAGAUAUACAUUGAUAUGAUGAAAAGGUCUGAUGUUUUUUGCUGUUGUGGCAGUCUCGCUAAUCUUGCUCUCAAGUUGGUUGAAACUAAGGAACAUUUACACUUUCCUUUGGUUUACCGACUCAUCACACUUGCUUUGACUUUGCCAGUAGCUAUGGCAUCUGUUGAAAGAGUUUUCUCAGCCAUGAAUAUCAUUAAGACAGAUUUGAGAAAUAAGAUAGCUGAUGAUUGGUUGAAUGAUCUGAUGAUAUGCUAUGUAGAGCGAGAUAUAUUUGCUGGAAUUGAUGACAAGAAGAUCAUAGAACAUUUUCACAGCUUGAGAGACCGUAGAGGCCAUCUACCAAACCCUCCCUGUAUACUUACGACUUAGGGUAUCUAUUAGUCAUGGAGUUGGACAUUUUGGGCCAUGGAAUGAAUUAUUCAAGCAGCAGGAGUCCAAGUUAGUAGUUAUGUGUGACGUUUAUGUUAUAUUUUGUGAUUUUAGGUUGUUACAACCUAGUUCUCGAGAAUCUUGAACUGUUCUGAAUCAUUGGUCAUGUAAAUUUUCGAGUGCAUCUAGCUUCAUAUUUGAAUUUUAUGAGAUUUGGUUCA